AUUGAACGCUGGCGGCAUGCCUUACACAUGCAAGUCGAACGGCAGCACGGGUGCUUGCCCCUGGUGGCGAGUUGCGAACGGGUGAGUAAUACAUCGGAACAUGUCCUGUAGUGGGGGAUAGCCCGGCGAAAGCCGGAUUACUACCGCCUACGAUCUACUGAUGAAAGCGGGGGCCCUUCGGGCCUCGCGCUAUAGGGUUGGCCGAUGGCUGAUUAGCUAGUUGGUGGGGUAAAGGCCUACCAAGGCGACGACCAGUAGCGGGUCUGAGAGGACGACCAGCCACACGGGGACUGAGACACGGCCCAGACUCCUACGGGAGGCAGCAGUGGGGAAUUUUGGACAAUGGGCGAAAGCCUGAUCCAGCAAUGCCGCGUGUGUGAAGAAGGCCUUCGGGUGGUAAAGCACUUUUGUCCGGAAAGAAAUCCUUGGCCCUAAUACGGUCGGGGGAUGACGGUACCGGAAGAAUAAGCACCGGCUAACUACGUG
rnacentral:rRNA from 1 species